rnacentral:rRNA from 1 species
UACAGAGGGUGCAAGCGUUAAUCGGAAUUACUGGGCGUAAAGCGUGCGUAGACGGUCAUGUAAGUCGGGUGUGAAAGCCCCGGGCUCAACCUGGGAACUGCAUUUGGGACUGCAAGGCUGGAGUACGGCAGAGGGAGGUGGAAUUCCACGUGUAGCAGUGAAAUGCGUAGAGAUGUGGAGGAACACCGAUGGCGAAGGCAGCCUCCUGGGCUAGUACUGACGCUCAUGCACGAAAGCGUGGGGAGCAAACAGG